UGGUGGAGUGAUUUGUCUGGUUAAUUCCGUUAACGAACGAGACCUCAGCCUGCUAGAGUCGGGCGAACACAUCUUGUGUUUGUGCUAUGACUUCUAUCUGUUUCUAGCAGAAGCACGUUUGAGGCAAUAACA
rnacentral:rRNA from 1 species